rnacentral:rRNA from 1 species
GACCUCAAAUCAGGUAGGACUACCCGCUGAACUUAAGCAUAUCAAUAACGGAGGAAAAGAAACUAACAAGGAUUCCCCUAGUAACUGCGAGUGAAGCGGGAAAAGCUCAAAUUUAAAAUCUGGUAGUCUCUGGCUGCCCGAGUUGUAAUCUAGAGAAGCAUUAUCCGCGCUGGACCGUGUACAAGUCUCCUGGAACGGAGCGUCAUAGAGGGUGAGAAUCCCGUCUUUGACACGGACUACCAGGGCUUUGUGAUGUGACUCUCAAAGAGUCGAGUUGUUUGGGAAUGCAGCUCUAAAUGGGUGGUAAAUUCCAUCUAAAGCUAAAUAUUGGCGAGAGACCGAUAGCGAACAAGUACCGUGACGGGAAAGAUGAAAAGAACUUUGGAAAGAGAGUUAAACAGUACGUGAAAUGUUGAAAGGGAAACGCUUGAAGUCAGUCAGCGUCUAUUGGGGAUCAGCCUUGCUCUUUGCUUGGUCUAUUUCCUGAUAAACGGGUCAGCAUCAAUUUCGUCCGAUGGAAAAAGGUCAGGGGAAUGUGGCAUCUUCGGAUGUGUUAUAGCCCUUGGCUGCAUACAUCGGUUGGGAUUGAGGAAUUCAGCACGCCGCAAGGCCGGGUCUUUGACCACGUUCGUGCUUAGGAUGCUGGCAUAAUGGCUUUAAUCGACCCGUCUUGAAACACGGACCAAGGAGUCUAACAUGCCUGCGAGUGUUUGGGUGGAAAACCCAUGCGCGUAAUGAAAGUGAAAGUUGAGAUCCCUGUCGUGGGGAGCAUCGACGCCCGGACCAGACCUUUUGUGACGGAUCCGCGGUAGAGCAUGUAUGUUGGGACCCGAAAGAUGGUGAACUAUGCCUGAAUAGGGUGAAGCCAGAGGAAACUCUGGUGGAGGCUCGUAGCGAUCUCUGACGUGCAAAUCGAUCGUCAAAUUUGGGUAUAGGGGCGAAAGACUAAUCGAACCAUCUAGUAGCUGGUUCCUGCCGAAGUUUCCCUCAGGAUAGCAGAAACUCAUUAUCAGAUUUAUGUGGUAAAGCGAAUGAUUAGAGGCCUUGGGGUUGCAACAACCUUAACCUAUUCUCAAACUUUAAAUAUGUAAGAACAAGCCGUCUCUUAAUUGGAC